GAAUGCCUUACAGGAAACGUAUUUAUUUCUCACAAUUUAUUAUGUUUUAGAUCUGGUUCCAUUUCCUCUUUUAAUUUUAGUUCUCAUUCUUUUAUUUUAUUUUAUUUUUUUGUGCAAAGUUUUCAUUCUUUGUUGGGUCCAACAAGUACAUGGCUGAGAAUUGAAAUUGUUUAAGUUUGAUAUGUGAUUUUGCAUUUUGUGGUAUAAUAGGAAUAGGGUCAUGAGAGAGAAUCGCAGACAUAAGAUGGUGUGGGCUACAUAUAAUUUCCCUCACUCUCAAAUAAAGUUGUAAAGCAACCGAAGCCUUGGGCAUCACAGAUAAAGAUGCAUUUUCAUGUUUAUUACGAUUGAUGUGUACAUGGAGGCUUAAACUACAAACACAAGUGCUACGAAAAGUCAAGCUUCUAAGUUAGAAAUUCUACGUUUUACUAUACUAGAUAGUUUGGUUUAUUUCAGCAUAUAUUGUUUUCAAUGUAAUUUUUUUAAUGUUUUUUAGUAACAUUUCUCAAGAUAGUUAACAUGUCAUUACGAGUUUUUGAAUGUUUGUAUCUAAAUAUUCUAUUUUAGUGGAUAUUAAAUUUCA